UGCGUAGGCGGACUAUUAAGUCAGUGGUGAAAUCCUGCAGCUUAACUGCAGAACUGCCAUUGAUACUGAUAGCCUUGAGUUUGGUUAAGGUAGGCGGAAUGUGUAAUGUAGCGGUGAAAUGCUUAGAUAUUACACAGAACACCAAUUGCGUAGGCAGCUUACUGAGCCGACACUGACGCUGAGGCACGAAAGCGUGGGGAUCGAACA
rnacentral:rRNA from 1 species